GUGGGGAAUCUUAGACAAUGGGGGAAACCCUGAUCUAGCCAUGCCGCGUGAGCGAUGAAGGCCUUAGGGUUGUAAAGCUCUUUCAGCUGGGAAGAUAAUGACUGUACCAGCAGAAGAAGCCCCGGCUAACUCCGUGCCAGCAGCCGCGGUAAUACGGAGGGGGCUAGCGUUGUUCGGAAUUACUGGGCGUAAAGCGCACGUAGGCGGACCGGAAAGUCAGAGGUGAAAGCCCAGGGCUCAACCUUGGGACGGCCUUUGAAACUCCUGGUCUUGAGGUCGAGAGAGGUGAGUGGAAUUCCGAGUGUAGAGGUGAAAUUCGUAGAUAUUCGGAGGAACACCAGUGGCGAAGGCGGCUCACUGGCUCGAUACUGACGCUGAGGUGCGAAAGCGUGGGGAGCAAACAGGAUUAGAAACCCGGGUAGUCC
rnacentral:rRNA from 1 species